AGCAGUAAUUAUUCAGACAGAGUCUGGGGAAAAACAUUGAAGUUGACGUUUGCAUGAAGCUGGGAGACAGCAUGCCCAGGAGACUACAGGCUGUCAUUAAGGCUAAGGGUUGUCU